CCAUCCAUGCCCCGAGACAGGCCUUGCACUCACCCAUUGUCCUCCGGCCACCGACCAGCCUGCCCCAGGAGAGCCUGGGAGAAGGAGCCGCAGGGAGAAGCUGCCAAUGCAAAGUGGCAUUUUGGAGCCAGAGGAGGGCAUCUAAAGUGGCACUGACUAUUAACCAAGAACGGGUGCAGUGCCCAUCCCCACAGCUUUAACCAGCACUGAGUCCACACACAGGCUUGGGUUUGGGGUUUUUUUUUUUUUUAAACAGAAGUUUAUGGUUAUAUGCAAAUUAGGUCAUUAAAUGAUUUGCAUAAAAUGUUCUCGCAGGACAGCGACUAUUCCUAAUUCCCCUCCCCCCCCAGAAAGUAGCAACCCUACUCAGCCUAGCGCACUUGCACAUCUACCCCCUGCCGGCGGGCACAUGCCCCGGGUCACACGUACACGCACCUCCCAGGUGCGGGAGUGCAGCACUUUCACUCAGCCACCCCCCAAGGCCUUGCCUUAAACAGCAUCCCCCCCUCUGGCUCCAUGCACACCCCCUCCACAAUACAAGCAUCUCUCCUAAACGCACGACAGACACACACCCUCCCACCACUGCUCGGACUCACCUCCCCUUGCGCUCACCCGUGCACUCAGCCUCCACCCCUAGCUGCUCCUGCUCGUACAAGUGCGCCGCUGCCUGAUUGUCCCUGUGCCCCUGCCGGGCAGUCACACACUCCUGUGCCCGCAUCUCUCGGGGUGCAAUCACAGCCAGUCACUCACACCCACACAGCGUGCCUGCUACAUGCCCUCCCUGCAUGCCCUGCACUCAGACAAGCACCACUGCGGCCUUACACACUCCCCACUGCACACUAGUCCUGCAGAGCCUCCCAGACACAUGCCACAUGCUCACACCCGUACAUUGCUUACACAUCUGUCGCUGCAAAUUCACAAGCACGUGCAUUCACCCCCCACACACACAACUGCAGUCACGCCUGCAGCCCAUGCAUUCACACACCAUUCUCAUGGACAUGCACACCACAGGCUCACACACUUCUCCUCACAUCGCCCCCCCCCCCCCCGGACAGGUGCUGGUGCACAGAUGCUCAAACUGCACCCACACCUGUCAAACUUACACAGGCACGCUCGAUUCCCCAGCUCACACAAAUGCACCGAUGCGUUUGCACACCAGGCAUAUUCCCAAAUGCUUCUCUCUCCCCCCCUCACACACGCCUCCAGCACACACACACAGCCUCCGUCACACACAUCCCCCCCCCCGCACACUCACCCCUGCCCUUCCAUGUCCAGGCGCACGCUGCGUGCCCACCCCGUGCACUCGUCCCCAGGCUCCAGGAGGGCUGUCCACACACCCCAUGUCCGUCACUGGAAUUGACAGCCCCCAGCCACUCCUAGCUAUUGGUCAGGAAGAGGCGUCUGUGUUUGGAGGCGGAACCACGAGGCCGGCCCCGGCGCCGCCCCCGCCCCCGGCUGCCAUACGGGU
rnacentral:lncRNA from 1 species